AUAAAAACCUUCUCGAGGUG
rnacentral:tRNA from 1 species